rnacentral:rRNA from 1 species
GACGGACGCUGGCGGCGUGCUUAACACAUGCAAGUCGAACGGUAAGGCUCCAGCUUGCUGGGGUACACGAGUGGCGAACGGGUGAGUAACACGUGGGUGACCUGCCCUGCACUUCGGGAUAAGCCUGGGAAACUGGGUCUAAUCCCGGAUAGGACCAUGCUGUGGAUACUGAGGAGGAAAGUUUUUUCGGUGUGGGAUGGGCACGCGGCCAAUCCGCUUGUUGGAGGGGUAGUGGCCGACCAAGGCGGAGGCGGGUAGCCGGCAUGAGAGGGUGGACGGCCACCUUGGUCCUGCGACACGCCCCAGACUCCUACGUGAGGCAGCAGUGGGGAAUAUUGCACAACGGUCGCAAGCCUGUUGCAGCGACGCCGCGUGUGUGAUGACGGCCUUCUGGUUGUAAACUCCUUUCGCCUACGACGAAGGGUUUCUGACGGUAGCUGGAGAAGAAGCACCGGCUAACUACGUG